ACACACAGACAGGACCGGGACUAACUUGCAAAAAUGGAUCAGACCAGAGCUGUGUAGGGUGAAAAAGCUUUGCUUUUUUUUCUUUAAUGUCGUUGGCUCUGCACUUUCAUGGAGUCCGUAGCAUCGGUCGCCCAAAAGUUUCUCAAUUGAAACUUCCUGACUCUUUGCCGUGGCCAGCAGCUGCGUGUAUACAAGGCAAGGCAGCCGCUUUCUUCACCGUUCGACGAGGCGAAUAUAAAGCGGCUGUCUUGAUCUGUCACUUCGAAGGAGACGACGGUGAUUGGCUUCUACUCACUCGGUUUCUUUACCAGGUGGCAAAGCAGAAGAGCAUGAGCCUUGUAAGAUGAAUGGAUGUUCGUAUCAAGCUCAUUCCUGGAGACUAUGGCAGCAUUUGCGUUGUACUUUGAUGUUCUCUGGUUGGAAUGGUUCAAGAAGAGAUUACUUUUUUGCAAAUAUCAAUCACCCAGCCUGAAAGUAAAGUACACUGCUUGCGUUAUCUAGUUGGAAAAUUAUCAAGGCCGAUUUUGUGCAGAUCUGAAUAAUUUGACCUGAAAGCCAAGCUUAUUCUUAAAUGCCUUUCAACAUUGUUGGUGGCUAACUCUGAUAUUGGAAAUCAACAAAGCUAAGCUAUCUUAUUCAUCUGAACGAGCAAAGCUUGUUGGCGGAGAAUCAGGCAUCGUAGCCCUUUUCUGAUAUUAUCUGGUUAGACAUCUCAAUCAUAUGACCUGAAAGCAAAGCUUAUUCUUGGAGAAACUACCUGCAUUUGAUAUUUAUUUGGUUGGAAUGGUUCAAGAAAAGUUUAACUAUCUGCAAAUCUAUAUCAUCUGACCUGAAAGUGAUGUUUUGUAAUUUACUGAUGAAGAAGUUCAAGGGAUGGUCAAUCGUUUUGUUGAUAUGAUCUAUAAACGAUAAUCUCUUAGGUGAACCAACUUCUCGGCUGUUGAUCAUACUCUGCUUGCAUAAGGAGAUUGGAAUAUUAUCAAGAUGGAGCAUGAAAAUCUAAAUUUCUGAAUCCUGAAAGCCAAGGUGUAUGUGAGUAGCUACUUUUGUAAAUCUGGCACCAAAAACAUAGAAAUUGCGAGGUAAAGUCAAUGGGGGCAUUCCGUGAAUCGAACUGGGAUCUCUUGCACCCAAAGCCAGAAUCAUACCACUAGACCAAAUGCCCUGUUUUCAAACAUUGAAGAGAGAAUGAUUUUAUCUUUGGAUCCAUUUUUUAUAAUACCAGUUCCUGCUCUCUGGUUUUAUUGUGCUUGAAAGAUCACCAUUGCAAUUGAUGGAACUGGAAUCAGAUCAGGAUUGAUUUGGUUAGAGGGAGAUGUGGAUUUUGCUUUAGGGAACCUAAGGUAGUGGAUCUGAUGGUAAGGAUGCAAUUUGCAUCUUGUUUAAUCAGUUACCAUUCAUGUCAUAUCUCAUAUCUUAUGUUUUGUUUUUUUCCUGAAACACUAUCAUAUCUUAUGUGUUUUUUGUCAACAUCUCAUAUCUUAUGUUAAACCAUUUGUUUUUCACCUUAAAUUCCUAAAAUUAAUAAACAUGUGAUUGUCGGUCUU